rnacentral:rRNA from 1 species
UUUUGGACAAUGGGGGCAACCCUGAUCCAGCCAUUCCGCGUGAGCGAAGAAGGCCUUCGGGUUGUAAAGCUCUUUCGCAAGGGAAGACACGUUACCGGUGAAUAUCCGGUGAUAAUGACGGUACCUUGAUAAGAAGCACCGGCUAACUACGUGCCAGCAGCCGCGGUAAUACGUAGGGUGCGAGCGUUAAUCGGAAUUACUGGGCGUAAAGCGUGCGCAGGCUGUUUUGUAAGUCAGAUGUGAAAUCCCCGAGCUCAACUUGGGAACUGCCUUUGAAACUACAAGACUAGAAUAGGUCAGAGGGGGGUAGAAUUCCACGUGUAGCAGUGAAAUGCGUAGAGAUGUGGAGGAAUAUCAAUGGCGAAGGCAGCCCCCUGGGAUCAUAUUGACGCUCAUGCACGAAA